rnacentral:rRNA from 1 species
GCGAUAUGAAGGAAGUUUUCGGAUGGAAUUUAUAUUGACUGAGUGGCGGACGGGUGAGUAACGCGUGGGUAACCUGCCUCAUACAGGGGGAUAACAGUUAGAAAUGACUGCUAAUACCGCAUAAGCGUACAGAAUCGCAUGAUUGGGUGUGAAAAACUCCGGUGGUAUGAGAUGGACCCGCGUCUGAUUAGCUAGUUGGUGGGGUAAAGGCCUACCAAGGCGACGAUCAGUAGCCGACCUGAGAGGGUGAUCGGCCACAUUGGGACUGAGACACGGCCCAAACUCCUACGGGAGGCAGCAGUGGGGAAUAUUGCACAAUGGGGGAAACCCUGAUGCAGCAACGCCGCGUGAGUGAAGAAGUAUUUCGGUAUGUAAAGCUCUAUCAGCAGGGAAGAAGAUGACGGUACCUGAUUAAGAAGCCCCGGCUAACUACGUGCCAGCAGCCGCGGUAAUACGUAGGGGGCAAGCGUUAUCCGGAUUUACUGGGUGUAAAGGGAGCGUAGACGGCAUAGCAAGUCUGAAGUGAAAGCCCAAGGCUCAACCAUGGGACUGCUUUGGAAACUGUUAAGCUAGAGUGCUGGAGAGGUAAGCGGAAUUCCUAGUGUAGCGGUGAAAUGCGUAGAUAUUAGGAAGAACACCAGUGGCGAAGGCGGCUUACUGGACAGUAACUGACGUUGAGGCUCGAAAGCGUGGGGAGCAAACAGGAUUAGAUACCCUGGUAGUCCA